rnacentral:rRNA from 1 species
UGACCUGGCGGCAGGCUAACCAUGCAAGUCGGACGGUAGCACAGAGAGCUUGCUCUCGGGUGACGGGUGGCGGACGGGUGAGUAAUGUCUGGGGAUCUGCCCGAUAGAGGGGGAUAACCACUGGAAACGGUGGCUAAUACCGCAUAACGUCGCAAGACCAAAGAGGGGGACCUUCGGGCCUCUCACUAUCGGAUGAACCCAGAUGGGAUUAGCUAGUAGGCGGGGUAAUGGCCCACCUAGGCGACGAUCCCUAGCUGGUCUGAGAGGAUGACCAGCCACACUGGAACUGAGACACGGUCCAGACUCCUACGGGAGGCAGCAGUGGGGAAUAUUGCACAAUGGGCGCAAGCCUGGUGCAGCCAUGCCGCGUGUAUGAAGAAGGCCUUCGGGUUGUAAAGUACUUUCAGCGGGGAGGAAGGCGAUGCGGUUAAUAACCGCGUCGAUUGACGUUACCCGCAGAAGAAGCACCGGCUAACUCCGUGCCAGCAGCCGCGGUAAU